GGCUCGAUGGCGGACGGCCCGCACCUGCCUAGCUUGCGGUCGAUUGCGCAGUCUUAUCGCAGGAGCUGCCCGUUCGACUCGGGCUCGAGCCA